AGGGCACCACCAAGAGUGGAGCCUGCAUCUUAAUUUGACUCAAAACGGGAAAACUUACCAGGUCUAGACAUAGUAAGGAUUGACAGACCGAGAGGUCUUUCUUGAUUCUAUGGGUGGUGGUGCAUGGCCAUUCUUAGUUGGUGGAGCGAUUUGUCUAGUUAAUUCCAUUAACGAACGAGACCUCAGCCUGCUAACUAGCUAUGUGGAGGAUCCCUCCGCGGCCAGCUUCUUAGAGAGACUAUGGCCAAGGAAGUAUGAAGCA
rnacentral:rRNA from 1 species